CCUUCAAUAGCUCAGUUUGUAGAGUGAGGAUUGUAGUGGUAACACUGACAUCCUUAGGUCGCCGGUUCAAAUCUGGCUCGAAGGA
rnacentral:tRNA from 1 species